AUCAUGUUCCAAUGCAUGCGAGUAUUCAAUCAAAGAACUUUGGUUGUUUUCCAGAACUGGCUCACUUAAAGGUCAAAAC
ensembl:misc_RNA